CGGUUCAUCGAUCGCGCCGGUGUCCCGCAAGGGACUUAAAUGGGAACGCGGUGCGGGAGGGUUGCCUCCCUAAUCCGCGGCUGUCCCUGCAACUGUGAGCGGCGAGCAAGGCAUGGAUCGGCCGGACCCUGAAGAUGGGACGGUCAGCCACUGGAGCGAUCCGGGAAGGCCCCAUGCCGACGCUAUGACCCGCAAGCCAGGAGACCUGCCGGAGCAAAGGUCGCUCU
rnacentral:ncRNA from 2 species